UACGAAGGGUGCAAGCGUUACUCGGAAUUACUGGGCGUAAAGCGUGCGUAGGUGGUGAGUUAAGUCUGUCGUGAAAGCCCCGGGCUCAACCUGGGAAUGGCGAUGGAUACUGGCUCGCUAGAGUGCGGUAGAGGAGAGUGGAAUUCCCGGUGUAGCGGUGAAAUGCGUAGAGAUGUGGAGGAACACCAGUGGCGAAGGCGACUCUUUGGCCUGUAACUGACGCUGAGGCGCGAAAGCGUGGGGAGCAAACAGG
rnacentral:rRNA from 1 species